rnacentral:rRNA from 1 species
AGAGUUUGAUCAUGGCUCAGGGUGAACGCUGGCGGCGUGGAUAGGGCAUGCAAGUCAAGGGGGGCCUUCGGGUCAACCGGCAGACGAGAUCAGUAACACGUAGGUACGUACCUCGAAGUCAGGAAUAGCUCAUCGAAAGGUGAGGUAAUACCUGAUGGUCCCGCAAGGGUAAAGAUUUAUCGCUUCGAGAGCGGCCUGCGCACUAUCAGCUUGUUGGUAAGGUAAUGGCUUACCAAGGCUACGACGGUUAGGGGGGGUGAGAGCCUGUUCCCCAUCGAUGGAACUGAGACACGGUCCAUACUCCUACGGGAGGCUGCAGUCGAGAAUAUUCCGCAAUGGGCGAAAGCCUGACGGAGCGACGCCGCGUGCAGGAUGAAGGCCUUUGGGUCGUAAACUGCUUUUAUGAGGGAGGAAGUCAUUGACGUUACCUCAUGAAUAAGGAGCUCCUAAUUCCGUGCCAGCAGGAGCGGUCAUACGGAUGCUUCAAGCGUUACCCGGAAUCACUGGGCGUAAAGGGUGUGUAGGUGGUAGUAUUAGUCUUCUGUUAAAGAUCCAGGCUCAACCUGGGGAGUGCAGAGGAAACGGUACAACUAGAGGACAGGAGAGGUGUGCGGAACUCACGGUGUAGGGGUGAAAUCCGUUGAUAUCGUGGGGAACACCAAAAGCGAAGGCAGCACACUGGCCUGCUCCUGACACUGAGACACGAAAGCGUGGGUAGCGAAUGGGAUUAGAUACCCCCGUAGUCC